rfam:Anaerobacillus alkalilacustris strain DSM 18345 Ga0137925_132, whole genome shotgun sequence.
CAAUGCAAGAAGAAGCGCCCGCUUCUCACCUGACUGACUAAUGAAGUUUGUAGGUUACUAAAAUGUUUAAGUAAUGAACAGUAUAGGUGUGGGCGCAAUAUGUGCUCACACCUUUUUUAUGCU